UCUCCCUCUUUCUCUUGUGUGCACCAUGUUGUGCCUGUUUCUGUUGUUUUUGACAUGUGCUUAAUCAACCAUCAGAGUAAUUCUCCACUGACUCUCUCCAGCCACUGGACUACAAAGAGAAUAUGUUAUUACAGAAAUCCAUUCCAACCAAGGGGAAUUUGAAGGAAGGAUACAGGAAUUUCGCUUAGAAUGCAAGAACAAUGGCAUGACCAUUUAUAUAUAGAAGAUCUGGAAGAAUCAACAUUAAAAAAAAGUCCUGGAACUAAUAUUAUAGCACUAUUGCACAAUACAAG